GGCGACGAUUGGUAGCCGGACUGAGAGGUUGAACGGUCACAUUGGGACUGAGACACGGCCCAGACUCCUACGGGAGGCAGCAGUGAGGGAUAUUGGUCAAUGGGGGAAACCCUGAACCAGCAACGCCGCGUGAGGGAUGACGGCCUUCGGGUUGUAAACCUCCGUCCUCUGUGAAGAUAAUGACGGUAGCAGAGGAGGAAGCUCCGGCUAACUAC
rnacentral:rRNA from 1 species